rnacentral:lncRNA from 1 species
UCAGAUUUUACUACUAGGUCAUGAUAGAUCCAAGAAGUCAUCGAAAUCGGGUGUUUCUCAAGUUUCUGAAUUAUGAAACCUAAUUCUGCUUUUGAAAGUUGGAUGGGCGCACUGAUGGAAUAUUGUAUUGGGUAAACAUACUGAUAGUAGUAAGUUCAGCAUUCAGUGAAUCCCUGUAUCUGAUGGCUCUUAGAAUUUAGUUAAGAUCAUGCUUAAGAAUGCAUGCCAUAAUAAAGUAAUUUGAUUUAGGCGCAUGUCUCAGAUUUUACUACUAGGUCAUGAUAGACCCCAUCAGGCACCUUUGCACUAUGUUCAUGUCUAAUUCAGACAGUGUUGAAUAAUGUUUGUCUAGUAUUUAAUCAAACUUUAAAUUGCUAGCCUGGAAAUUAAUUUGCAUUGUCUGCCUAACUCUUUGUUGAUUGGUAGAACAUUAGUAGCUUUCAAUAUAAGUGACUCCAUUUUGAUGGGAACAGACUGGUAAAUAUGGGUUGAUAUGUUGCUGUACCUUCGAUAUUUCCUUUGAUGGCUAACUGAUUUGCAUUCUAGCAUCUAGCUCUCGAAGUGGUAUUGGGGAAAAAGAUAUUAUAAAAUGCAUCCGAGUGACUGCACUUGUUCCUGCCAUUGGAUAGUAUCAAAUGUGCUCUCAGA